UUUUAUUGGGAUCUUCCAAGGACUGUUUCUAUUUUAUUUCGUACACUAAGAUCCAGAGCAGUUGUGUUCUUGGCCCUUCAUCCAUCAAGAAUUUUUUAAGGUUGUCCCCCGAAAUAAUCUGUAGCCCUAUACCUUAAAGAUUACCACUCUACUUUCAUUACUUAUCUAGAGGCUUUGUUGGCAUCCGUUUUCUUUCUUGGGAGAGACCGUGAACACAAACUCAUAAGCUUUGUUGGCUAUUUUUUCAUCCAGCAAUAUAUUCUUCAUUCAUGCUUUCGGUAGGCUGAUUCUAGUUUCAUCCAUGACACGAUUGUUUUUUUUUGUUGAUUUAAGUGGUGUGGUAUGUCAGUUGCUCGAUUGUUUCUUGUUAUUGCUAGCUGAAAAUGUGGUUGGAUUCAUAUAAGCACAUGUAUGCUAACACCGUACUGUAAGUUUUCUUGGAAAUAUGCAUCCGGUUGUGUGCUGAUUAGAUAGUCAUCUAUGCACAUGUGGGCUAAUGAGGUAUAUAUGGAUCUUGUGCUGAUUAGAUAUAUGCAUCUGGGUGUUGAUCUUAAUGCUGCCACUCCUAGGAAACUGACACGACACAAUGUAUAUUAUUCUAUAUAUUACACAAUUAGAAUAAUGUUUAUACAAUUGAAAAGCUUCGAGGACUAUUUUCAAGCUGGUUUCAGUGUAACAUUCUUUUCUUGCCAAAUGAUGGCUUUCAUGCCGUGGUCGUCUAGGAAUCAAAGGGAACAAUAUUUUAUUUAUUACUCCGUAGAACAUAAAUCAGUCUGGCUUAUUAUGUUUGCAUCUAUUUCAUUCAUAACCAUGCAUAUGUGCUUAUAUAUAGUUUAAAAUGUGAUAUUUUAUAGUAACUAUAUUGUUCUUUUUCUUUUUGCAGGUUUCCUAAAGCUAACCAAUGAAAAUGUCCAAAGAAGUUGAUGGUGGAAGUUUCAGUAGAGUGAUUAUUCCAAUGACAACACAUUUCCCCAUGGAUCAGUCACAUAUGCACAUCUUUUUAAUGGAACUAUAUGUGUUGUUCCCCUCCUUGGAGGCGUCGGUAUGGACUGAUCCCCUCACUUCCCCUGCCCCUAGGUCUCCCGGGCGAAAGCCCUAACUUUGUUGGGCGGCGGCGGCGCUCUUGGCGCCGUUCUCUUCUUGAAGGCGCCGCUUUGUGAGGCUUGUGGUCGGGUGGCGCUUGUGCGUGGUGGGUGGUGGCGGCGGUGUGGCCCUCUUGUCCUAACGUGAAACUUCCCCCUCCGGUGUUGGAUGUGUGCAGUGGCGAUGUUCUGCUCAAGGAGAGCCUCCGACGUCUCGUUGGGGAUGCGCUGACCCUCUCUAUGUGGCCAUCUUCCCGCAGCAUCCAUCUCAUCUUGCGACGGUGCGGCACCUUCAAUCUAGGCAAGGAGGUAGUGGCCUUCUUCGAAGAUAAUGGACGGGAGUGCCGUGCCGGGGCCCGUAGGUGCAUGGCGACAACAUAUGCCCCGCUGGUGUCGCCCCCUCUCUCCUCCGAACCAGUGUGAUAUUGUUCCUGGUGCAGCAUUCUUGGAGGAGGUCCUCGUUGUCUUCGGCUUCGUUCUCUUUUGAUUAUCUCCAGUUUCCGUAGCGUGUGAGGAGUGGUUUGGUGUUGUCCAUCGUUUAUGUAUCUUACCACCGUGUUGUUCUUUCUUUUGCAUGAGGGCGUUUGUUUGUAAUCUGGCCAGUUGAUGGCUUUGUUAAUUCAAAGUCGGGCUAGGCUCGAGCCCCAUCUUGGGCUCGGCUGAUGCCUUUUCUUGUCCGUUUGGGUCACCCCGUUGGAGUUCCUCUUACUGAAAAAAAAAGAAAUAGUUCUCAUGGUUUUUGAAUA
rnacentral:lncRNA from 1 species